AGUGAACGCUGGCGGCGUGCUUAACACAUGCAAGUCGAACGAGAACGGGUUAUAGCUUGCUAUAAUUGUCAGCUAAGUGGCGCACGGGUGAGUAAUGUAUAGGUAAUAUGCCUCUUACUAAGGGAUAACAAAUGGAAACGUUUGCUAAUACCUUAUACUCCUUAUUAACAGAAGUUAAUAAGGGAAAGAUUUAUUGGUAAGAGAUUAGCCUGUAUUGUAUCAGUUAGUUGGUGGGGUAAUGGCUUACCAAGACUAUGACACAUAACUGGUUUGAGGGGAUGAUCAGUCACACUGGAACUGAGACACGGUCCAGACUCCUACGGGAGGCAGCAGUGGGGAAUAUUGCACAAUGGACGAAAGUCUGAUGCAGCAACGCCGCGUGGAGGAUGACACAUUUCGGUGCGUAGACUCCUUUUAUAUGAGAAGAUAAUGACGGUAUUAUAUGAAUAAGCACUGGCUAACUCCGUGCCAGCCGCCGCAGUAA
rnacentral:rRNA from 1 species